rnacentral:rRNA from 1 species
GCGGACGGGUGAGUAACACGUGAGAAUUUACCUUUAGGAGGGGGAUAACAAUUGGAAACGAUUGCUAAUACCCCAUAUGCUUUCGAGUGAAAUAGAGUUAUCUGCCUAAAGAGAAGCUCGCGGCUGAUUAGCUUGUUGGUAAGGUAAUGGCUUACCAAGGCGACGAUCAGUAUCUGGUUUGAGAGGACGAUCAGACACAUUGGAACUGAGACACGGUCCAGACUCCUACGGGAGGCAGCAGUGGGGAAUUUUCCGCAAUGGGCGAAAGCCUGACGGAGCAAUACCGCGUGAGGGAAGACGGCCCAUGGGUUGUAAACCUCUUUUUUCAGUGAGGAAACAAAUGACGUGUAGCUGAAGAAUAAGCAUCGGCUAACUCCGUGCCAGCAGCCGCGGUAAGACGGAGGAUGCAAGUGUUAUCCGGAAUCACUGGGCGUAAAGCGUCUGUAGGUGGUUUAAUAAGUCAACUGUUAAAUCUUGAGGCUUAACUUCAAAACCGCAGUCGAAACUAUUAGACUAGAGUAUAGUA